AACAUCCUGGCAAAUGAUUCCAGCGAUCUAUACGUGAUAAUAUCGACACAAUCGAAUUCAAGAAUUUUGUAAAAUUCUAAUUACAAUAUAUUAGCAUGAUACGUCGAGGAUGACUCUCUUAAUCUAGAAGCGUUAUUUGAAAACACUGAUUUACAUGGUUCGGAGAACGGGUUUCCAUUGGAGGAAGUAACAACAGGAUCUCAACAAACAUUGUUGACGACAGAUACAAAUAUAACAAAUAAUUCUGACGAUCCAGAGUUACAAGAACUUAUGUCUCAGUUAAGAAUAAAAUAUUUUGGAGAUCUCUUGAACACUAACUGUUUCCCCAGCAAUCCCAUUAGAGACGAAAACAGCCAGUAUAUCGUGUUUCAACUGGCAAACUCUAAU